GAAAUGAAAAUAAUGGUGGGUAUUUUUUGGAGGGUAGGAGCUUAAGUAAUGGCCAUGACAAUAAUGAGCGUGAGAUUGAUGUUGUGGAGGAAAUGGAGAAAUUGGAGAUAGAAGGAAAUGGCACAGAGCAUUCGGAGUUAAAGGGUGUGCGGAUUCCAUUGCCUUGGGAGAUUUUGCAGCCAUUAUUGAGGCUUUUGGGACAUUGUUUGUUGGGGCCUUUGAAUUCCCAAGAUGUUAAGGAUGCAGCAUCUGUGGCAGUUAGGCGGUUGUAUGCAAGAGGGUCUCAUGACUUGGCUCCACAAGCCAUAUUGGCCACACGGAGUCUCAUCCAGCUUG
rnacentral:misc_RNA from 1 species